GAGGCUCGCUGCCCCCUGGAGGGCAGCGAGUCGGUGGGUUCCCGAGGCCAGGGUGCGGCACACCUGCCCAGAGCGGUGUGAGGACCUCCUGCGCUGACCUCCCAGCAGAACGACUCGUUUUUCUUCACCCAGGAAUCUGCUUGGAGAUGAUAAAGAUCGACGCCAUUCCUUAUAACAACACGGUGGCUCCCCAGAGCUGUGCACACCGGAGUUUAUUUAACCGCCUCCCCGCUGCCACGAAAGCUCUCAGUCCUCACCCCGUGGGGACGGGGAGUGGAGGCAGGUAGCCGCCAGGCCCUGCCUUGCCUGGAUCUGACAUCCCGUCACUGAAAACCGCCUCAUAUUGUUCCCGGCCGAUGGGCAGUGUCGGAGGUCGGAGCUGUGUGCUCUGCGGCACGGUGAGUGCUCAGAAUACCGUCGAACUGCACACACACGCCUGGGGGUGGCCCAGCUUGGCACCCCUCCUGCCCCACACUGCCCGGUCCUGCCUGGCACCCACAGGUGUGCAGUGCCCCAGAACCCGGGGUCCACAGCUCAAGCGUAGUAGCAGCUCAUGUUGUGAGCGCUAG